rnacentral:rRNA from 1 species
AUUGAACGCUGGCGGCAUGCCUUACACAUGCAAGUCGAACGGUAACAGGUCUUCGGAUGCUGACGAGUGGCGAACGGGUGAGUAAUACAUCGGAACGUGCCUAGUAGUGGGGGAUAACUACUCGAAAGAGUGGCUAAUACCGCAUGAGAUCUACGGAUGAAAGCAGGGGAUCGCAAGACCUUGUGCUACUAGAGCGGCCGAUGGCAGAUUAGGUAGUUGGUGGGAUAAAAGCUUACCAAGCCGACGAUCUGUAGCUGGUCUGAGAGGACGAUCAGACACACUGGGACUGAGAAACGGCACAGACGCCUACGGGAGGCAGCAGUGGGGAAUUUUGGACAAUGGGCGCAAGCCUGAUCCAGCAAUGCCGCGUGCAGGAUGAAGGCCUUCGGGUUGUAAACUGCUUUUGUACGGAACGAAAAGCCCCGGGUUAAUACCCUGGGGUCAUGACGGUACCGUAAGAAUAAGCACCGGCUAACUACGUGCCAGCAGCCGCCGUAA